rnacentral:rRNA from 1 species
AGAACGAACGCUGGCGGCAGGCUUAACACAUGCAAGUCGAGCGCCUCGGCAACGGGGAGCGGCAGACGGGUGAGUAACGCGUGGGAACAUACCCUCCGGUUCGGAAUAACUCAGGGAAACUUGAGCUAAUACCGGAUACGGCAACCAAGAGAGAUUUUGGCGGCGAAAGAUUUAUCGCCGGAGGAUUGGCCCGCGUCCGAUUAGCUAGUUGGUGUGGUAAUGGCGCACCAAGGCGACGAUCGGUAGCUGGUCUGAGAGGAUGAUCAGCCACAUUGGGACUGAGACACGGCCCAAACUCCUACGGGAGGCAGCAGUGGGGAAUAUUGGACAAUGGGCGCAAGCCUGAUCCAGCCAUGCCGCGUGAGUGAUGACGGCCUUAGGGUUGUAAAGCUCUUUCGCUCGGGACGAUAAUGACGGUACCGAGAUAAGAAGCCCCGGCUAACUUCGUGCCAGCAGCCGC